rnacentral:lncRNA from 1 species
CUGUUUCCUCUUAGGUAUUAGCAGCAGAGUGCCCCUGUGUUUCUCCAUCCAUCAUGGCCUGGCAUGGCAUGCACAUGGCCGUGUGGCUGGUGGGGAGUGGGGGGGCGGGGAGGGGGGAAAGGAAAAUCAGCCAUCACAGAGUCUUUUGCGAAUGCACUGCUGCUCUUUGUGUUUUAUUUGAAGAAAUGAUUAGAGUUUAUUUUAUUGCCAGGAAAGGCUGCCAGCCUUUAUGAUGACAAAAUUGCUGAGUUUACUAGGAAGUUUAUUUAUAUAGGCCUUGAAAGACAGACUCUCCCAUGACAGACACCAGCGAAGACCUGGGUUUGCUGGGUCUCCUGUUUCCCCUAACUGUUCUGCUGACAUGUUAACCCUUUGCUCUGACAGAUUCCUGAGAAAUGAGCAAUUAAGAGCAAAAAUCUGUACAAGAUACCCCUUCCUUGUGGGGAAACUGGGUAUUCAAGGAACUCUGGGCUGGAAACCUGAAGGAACAAACGGGUUGGCAGACGUUUAUUGCUGGUACUGUGGGCCACCCCCAGCUAUGGCUAACAUAACCACAGGGAUAGCAGACAUCUUCCCAGGAGGAGAUGGUUUUAGAGUGAUCUACCACGUCCUGCCAUGCAUGUCAACUCUGGGACAAGUGAUGCCAUUAGAAGUCCUCUCAUCUCCCACUGAUGCCCCUGUUGCAGCAAUGGAAUCACCAGAAGAUCUCCCACCACCAAAAAAAACCCACAUUUUGGGGAGGGCAGAAUUGUGAUGAAUUUAAGACUCGGCAAGACAAUGAGUUUUAGGGUAAGAAAUACGUGUUUAAAUUUUCUUAGGUGUCAAAAUGCUCUGCUUUGACACAUUAAAAACGAAAAGGUUUCGUUUGGAAAAUUUCCAAGUGUGUCAUUUCAUCGUUAAUAUUCAUUCACUAAUAUUAUUUUCUUCUAUAAAGUGGACUGACCUGGGAAGGUAUCCAAAACAGACCAGAAUGAAUUAAAUAAGAAGAUUCGUAUUUCACCUUCAUUCCUGGUGCUUGUUUUGUUUUAGAGAAAAAGAAAUGCCCCCAGUUCUGCUCCAGCUCUGAUCUAACUUUCUUCCACAUGUUCAUCAAACAAGAGAGAUCAACCCUCUUCCCUCAUCACAGUCUUCAACCAGCACCUCAGUUCUACUGCUUGGCCUGGAAAAGCCUUUUAUCAGGCAGUGACGAUGGCAGGCAGUUAUCCUCUAUGGACGAAUGACAGAAGAGGAUCCUAAACAUAAUUUACAAAGACCUGCCCUGCUGGUGGAUGGAAGAAAAGGGAGACCCAGGAGAAGGCUCUCUGUAAUUGCUUGAGAGGAAAU